rnacentral:tRNA from 2 species
UAUAAAAUGUUGUAAUAGCAUAAAGAAUUUUGAUUUCUUAGGUUUUAGUUCAUUCUAAUUUUUAUAA